rnacentral:rRNA from 1 species
AGUGAACGCUGGCGGUAGGCCUAACACAUGCAAGUCGAACGGCAGCACAGUAAGAGCUUGCUCUUACGGGUGGCGAGUGGCGGACGGGUGAGGAAUACAUCGGAAUCUACUUUUUCGUGGGGGGUAACGUAGGGAAACUUACGCUAAUACCGCAUACGACCUACGGGUGAAAGCAGGGGAUCUUCGGACCUUGCGCGAUUGAAUGAGCCGAUGUCGGAUUAGCUAGUUGGCGGGGUAAAGGCCCACCAAGGCGACGAUCCGUAGCUGGUCUGAGAGGAUGAUCAGCCACACUGGAACUGAGACACGGUCCAGACUCCUACGGGAGGCAGCAGUGGGGAAUAUUGGACAAUGGGCGCAAGCCUGAUCCAGCCAUACCGCGUGGGUGAAGAAGGCCUUCGGGUUGUGAAGCCCUUUUGUUGGGAAAGAAAAGCAGCAGGUUAAUACCCCGCUGUUCUGACGGUACCCAAAGAAUAAGCACCGGCUAACUUCGUG